rnacentral:lncRNA from 12 species
CAUAAAGAAUUUGAGUUGCUCUCCUUAACUCAUAUUAUUAAAUACUGUGCCAUCAAAGCAAUGUAAGAUAAAGAAAACUACAACUUAACCAAGAGUGUACAUUUAUGUUGAAAAGGUCACUACUGCUCAUUAAAUGGAAUGUUUAAGGACUGUGACAUAAGCAAAACAUUCAGAAUCCAAACCACUGCACUAGUCUUAGUGGUGGCGCUGCUGUGAGUUCAGAAUCAAGGUGUGAACAGGUUUGGAUGGUGACUGUGGAUGGGCAUUGAUAUGGAUGACAAUCUUAGCCACCGACGCCCAGUGACAGAGACCAUCAGAGACUGAACCACCCUGUCUGCUGAUCAGCUACACAACUUGUGCAGCUCCUGGAAAACAUACUCCUGCUUUCUUGGACAAUGAUUCUCCCAAUGUUAUGGUAGAUGGGAAACCAGUGAAGUUGAGCUAUUGGGAGGGAGCUGACAAUGCUCUCUUCCCUAUGUGCAAAUGUACUCAGUAUGAGGUGAGG